rnacentral:rRNA from 1 species
AUGCACCGGCAUAUUCGACAACAAAAUCUCUGCAAGAUUUGUCUGGCUUCGCAGGAGAACCUAUUGCAUGCACUCUUGGAGUGUUCACAUGCGAGACAGUUCUGGGAAGAGGCGCAGCAACUCUUCGACUUCAAGCUACCGCGGCUCCAUCCUGUGACCUGGGCCGAAGACAUCAUUUGUGAUGACCGCCUUACUUCCAGGGACCGAGCAGUGGCCGUUUCGGUCAUGUGGUCCAUUUGGCACUCGAGAAACAGAUUGACACAUGGUGAGGAUCAGCUCGAUCCGGCAAGCUCUGUACGACGCACUCGGGAGGCGUUAUCCCUUCUUGAGGUGCCGCGGCAACUAGCACUGAUCAUGCCUGGGCAUGGGUGGCGGCCGCCCGACGCGGGUUUCGUCACUAUCAACACUGAUGCGGCAAUCAAACGAGAAGAUGGCAAAGCAGGAGCAGGGGGCGUCGCCCGAUCCUCUUGCUCAUUUCUAGGAGCAUGGAGCAAGCCAUACUCCGGAGUUACGGAUCCCUUCAUUGCAGAGGCGAUGGCAGUGCGUGACGGAGUUAUCUUCGCAAGCUUGAGGGGUUAUUCACAUGUCAUUGUGGAGACGGACUGCUCGGAGGUCGCCAACCGCUGGACCACUCGCCACGACUCUCGAUCGGUCGUGGCACCUAUUUUGUUAGAAAUUGGAGAGCUCUCUGGUAGUUUCACUUUUUUUGAUAUUUUUGAAUUCAAGGCGGCAAGAUCGGCUAACGGUCCUGCUCAUCUUUGUGCUAAGCAAGCUUGCACAAUUGACGUGACCGAAAGCUGGAUCGAAAGUACUCCUAGCUUCCUGAUCAGUAGCCUCUUGGCAGACUGCCCAGCGAACGCUUUUAAGCAAUAA